rnacentral:rRNA from 1 species
CAAUAGCGUAUAUUAAAGUUGUUGCAGUUAAAAAGCUCGUAGUUGGAUUUCUGGUAGGAGUGACCGUUCCGAACUUGAUUGUUCGUGUAUUGUGUUUUCUCCAGCCAUCCUUGUGGAGAACUUUUCUUGCAUUAAUUUGUAGGGAUUGGGACCCGCAUCGUUUACUGUGAAAAAAUUAGAGUGUUUAAAGCAGGCAAUCGCUUGAAUACAUUAGCAUGGAAUAAUAAGAUAGGACUUUGGUACUAUUUUGUUGGUUUGCAUACCAAGUUAAUGAUCAACAGGAACAGUUUGAGGAUAUUCGUAUGAACAUGUCAGAGGUGAAAUUCUUGGAUUUUGAUCAGACGAACUACUGCGAAAGCAUUUAUCAAGGAUGUUUUCAUUAA